CUCCCCCACAAGUAGUUCCUCUCCCUCUGUCUCCAAAAAGGAGAACUGACAUACAAAAGCCCCCAAGAAUAACUGAAUAAGUACAUGUGUGCUAAAUACUCAAAACUUGAUGUACUUUUACUCCACUGCAAAAGGUGAUCUCAACUUCAUUUUUUCUCCAGACCAUUUAAGUUAUAGUUUAGUUUAGUUUCAAUCAAGACAUCCGUCUAUCUUCUUGUUUCAAUGCUCACAGCCUCUUCACAGUUGAAAUACCAUCUACUUGCAGAACUUCGAAAAUGCAUGCAAGCACGGAUUCCUCCCACCAUCUGGAGUAUUUAGCUGACAACCCAAGCUCAAAAGAACUAGACUGGAGACAAGGCUAAUAUCCCCAAUAAACCAAAUAAUACUUCCUGGUUAUGACAAAUUUCAUGUAUGAUUGGUAAGAGUCCAAUAAAUCCAACUUCGCGCGAUCACUAACUAUAUAUAUAUAUAUAUUACAAAGUGCCCUGCAACAGCCCUGAUCAAUUCUAUGUACUCGAUAAGCAUCAAGGAAAAAAGAAGUUUUUGAGGGUUAUUCUCACUUCCCCUCGGGGAAAGAUGAACAUACUAGUCCUGGAACCAAAACUUCAAUAGCCCAAGUCCUGUGCUUUCUGGCCAC
rnacentral:lncRNA from 1 species